rnacentral:tRNA from 1 species
UGGGGCGUGGCCAAGUGGUAAGGCACGGGACUUUGGCUCCCGGACCGAAGGUUCGAAUCCUUCCGCCCCAGCCA